rnacentral:rRNA from 1 species
GACGAACGCUGGCGGCGUGCUUAACACAUGCAAGUCGAGCGGUAAGGCCCUUUUGGGGGUACACGAGCGGCGAACGGGUGAGUAACACGUGGGUGACCUGCCCUCAGCUCUGGGAUAAGCCUGGGAAACUGGGUCUAAUACCGGAUAUGACCUUGCCUCGCAUGGGGUGGGUGGAAAGUUGUGGUGACUUUGUUGCUGCUUCGGUUGGGGAUGGGCCCGCGGCCUAUCAGCUUGUUGGUGGGGUGAUGGCCUACCAAGGCGA